GGUGCUUUAGAGAAGUGGUUUAACUCACUCCCUUUGGGCUUGCACAAUUGGGAGAGAUCGGGGGUUCGAAUCCCCCAAGCGCCC